AAUUGCUUGGUGUUUUUGUCCAUCAAGCUGCCUCCCCAGCACACUGCAGUGUAGGACAGUGCACUGGCCACCACCAUGUGAUAGAUUAUGGUCAACAUCUCCACACACACAUCAAAGGACCUCAGUGUUCGCAAUGUAGAGGGUGUCAGUCCAGCUUGUCAUCCAAGAGGACCCCCAGAUCUUUGUGGGUGUGCACCACCUCAAUGUCCUCCCCCUAUAUGGAGACUGGUUGAUAGGGUGACCUCUUCCUUCUGAAAUCCACUACCAUCUCCUUGGUUUUGGCUGUGUUCAUGUGGAGACAGCACUACCUGCACCAGUCCCUGAAGGCAUCCACAAAGUCCCUGUACUCUCGCUCCUGAUCACUCCUGAUACAAGCCACAAUAGCUAGUAUCGUCAGAGUAUUUUUAUAUGUGGCAGGACUCUGAGUUGUGCUUAAAGUCUGCUGUGUAGAGUGUGAACAGGAACGGUCCUAAAAGAGUAUAAUAUAAUGUCAGGCUGGUUGAUGCUGUUAGCUUCACUUUAGAUCAUAAACCAAACGUUUUACUCUGUUUAGUUCUCACGGCUUUCAUAAUGGCUCCUCUCCUGGUAUUGUAUCUAUAUAUCCCAAAUCCCAAACUCCAAUUCUUCUGUCAAAACUGCAAGUACACAAUAUAUACAGUAGAGUGACAGAGGAGCAGCUGCAGCAGUCGACUUAUCUCACUGCGUUGCAGAACGGAGUGUUUCAGGAGAUCCUUCGUCCCCACAGCAAUAAAACUGUUUAACACCUCCUGAAUCCAGUCACGCACACUUACACACUUACACAAAAGUAAAACAAAGCUGUCCUUCAUUUAAUGUGAUUUUUAUCAUUCCAAUAGUUGAAAAAUAUUAGUUUGCUCAUUUAAACUAAACUUUCUAAUUUAUGUUUAUGGUUGAAUCUGUUUUUCGUAUUUUACUAUAAUGUAAACUGACAGCGGGGCACCAAACUGAAAUGUUUCAUUUUGAUCAGAGGAUUUUUAUUAGAUUGAGUAUGAUUUGCGCAUGCGCAGUCUUUAAACUUCUGGCGGUAAAUGUAUUUCCGCCUCAAAUGGUCCUGCAUUUCGGAUUUCAUUCUGGUAACGUUAAAGAUAGUCAUUUCGGUUUCUAAGUAUGUAUUAUUCUGUCCUUGACUGGACGUUGUUUUCAGUCCUCUGGGCCGCCCUGUAUCUUUAAGUGAGUCCGGAGAGAGCAGAGCCGGCCAGGCAGACAGUGGAUAAGGUUGGGAGAGGAGGAGCUGCCGAGCAAGGUAAAAUUUUCACUCAGAUAAAAUAGAAAGACAUCAUAAAACGUUGUUAAAUCAUAACGGUAACAGCUUGUACAUGGUGUGAAGCUUGUAUGAGUAUGAGUGUAUGAGUGUGUGUGGCCACUGAAACACAUGCUGCCAUGAGUUACUAAACUAAGCUAAGCUAGGGAGAGCUAAGGUUACGGCUAAUAAAAGUAACGUUAACGUAGCAUUAACACGAACAGUACAUUCACGGACUUGGAUGCAGUUUCACUCAGUAACAGUUAAUACAGCGGAGGACUCAGUCCCUCUGCUGUGUGGAGAGGAGAGCAACAGGAAAGACGUGAACUCGCUAGGUUAUGUGCAUUAAAAGCUAAAAAUUCGUAAAAAGUAGUGGAAAUGUUGUAAUGUCCGGUCAUCUGGGCAACAGUCUGCAGGGCAGGCCUGUCGCGAUAUGCCGGUUAAUUGCAUGGUAAAUUAAAAGGGACUAAUUGCCAUAUUCAUGCGUGUUUGUUUUCCUCGUCUCUCUCCACCAAAGAGACUGGACGACAAGAGCAUUCACUGCCGUGCAUCAUCUGGCAGCCAGGUGAGUUGGUUCAUUAGCGUAAUGAACGGAGGGAAACCUCUUGUCAUCGAGUGUCUUUGUCUCUUGUUCCGACCUUCAAAAAAAGGUUUACAUGAAGUUAAAAAAUUCAGGUUAAACUGAAAGGAUUAUUUGCAUUAAGUAAUAGAUCCAACUUAAUUAUUUUAAUUUAGGACAACUUGAAAUAAUUGGUUUGCUUCACCUUCAGAAAUUAAUUUACAUUAAGUUAAACAAUUCAGGUUAAACUAAAUGAAUUAUUUACAUUGACUCAAUGCUAAAAUAUUAGGUGUGACCGAUUACUUCAGUUUUUUUAAGUUGAUCUAAUGUUUCAUUUUUUUCAGUGUAUUCUACUCUCUUCUAUUCAAUUAAAAACUGAUAUUGGCUGCCUGUUUGACAGUUCUCUCAACAUAGAGCCUUUGUGAGAUGUCAAAAAUUUAAUCUUGUGGAGCUAAAGUUGGCUCACUUUAAUCAGAAAGAGACAUUGUAAAGGGGAUAGCAACAAUCAUAUUUAUUUUUAGACACCCCACAUUUAAAAACAACUAGGCCAGUUAAAGUUGUAUGUCAAGGCUGUAGCAAUGGCUGCUUCCGUGCAGCAUAUAAAUGCUAAUUCAAAUAAUCUUUAAUGACAAAUUUAUUCGAAAAAUGUAAUGAUGCAUUGUGUGACUCCCCUCCUCCUGUAUGGCUUCCUCUCUGUUCUCCACUGAUGUCUUCUCUGCUCUGAUAUUCUUCAGUCUACUUCAGCAGCAUUGAAAUAUUAACCAAGCCCCAUUAAACUCUAGACAGCAGCAAACAUACAGCUCAAAAAUUCAGAGACAAGCAUAGGGCAGCAUUUUUGUCACUUUGUCUCUGUGGGGGAGGUGGGGCUAUGGGCGACACACAGUGAUCUUCGUGAGGGGGAGACGAGGUGGAGAAGAAAACAGAGAGUUGAGCAUAAGAGAAAAACAUGGAACUUGUUCCUAAACCAAACACCACGGCCCCUGUGUGGGAGCGUUUUGGAUGUAAACCAAAUGACAGAGGGGAGCCCAGUAAUUUGGACGAGCCGGUGUGCCAGGUUUGUUCUAAAACCAUCUCAACAAAAAGAGAGAAUACGACCAACUUAACUGCACACUUGAGAGUGAGAGACUGACAGUCUAUUUUUGUAUUUAUUUAUUUAUUUAUUUCGGAUAUUUAAAUUUUCUUUUUUGCAUUCCUAAAUAUUCUUGUUAAAUAAAUGUUUAUUUCUCUUUAAAAGGGUGUACUUACAUCAAUAUGCCUUUAUUAUCAUUAUAUAAGUUUAAAAAUGGUCUAAAAACAGCAAAACAACAACAGUACAACAAUAAUAAAAAUGGUCUUAAAAGCACAAUAUCACGCAAUAUUAACGCUUAUUGCAAGAAUUUCUGAUGCAAUUAAUCGCCCAGCAAAAUUUGUUAUCGUGACAGGCCUACAGCAGGGCAUGCCAAAAUCAUCAGUGUUUGAAAAUACUCAGAGACCCCAGAGGAUUAAUUGAUCAGUGUUUUCUCUGGAACUGUGUAAAUAAUGAAUCAACAUAAGUUAUGUUUUGUCAGGUAUUUUGUUUCGUAGUAAAUCUCAAUUAAAAAAGAACAGAAGACAUAAUAUUUUGUCAAGUUUACACUGUACAGUUUGUAGUUCAUGUAACAGUGUUUUGCUUUAAUCUAAAAAGUGCAUAACAGUUACAGUGUUAAAAUAAUUUAGAUUCACUUAGAAAUUAAUUUACUCUAUAACUGAUUUAAGAUUACACCCCUAGUCAUAUUGUGCACCUAUUUAACUAUAUAUGCCAAAAAAUAAUCCCAUCAAUUUCUUUGUGCAUUACUAUAUCUUGGAAACGUUUGUUAAUGGUGCCACAUUAUUUAGUAAUGUGAAGUAGGUUAAUAGUAAAAAUAUGUGAUGUCUGUACCUCAAUUUUAAAUAUAUAGUUCAGUUUAAAUGAAAAUUACCUUGUGUUCAUUAUUUAUGACAUAAUGUUAGCAGGCCCAUCUAUUUCUAAUGUAGCUGGUAGUUUGCUGCACUGUAACAUGUGAUAGAAAUGCACCAAAAUGUUAGCCAACUGCCCUAAAAUCAUAAAAUAAAAGUAAGUUAUAGGCCUAAGGGUAGUCAAUGUAUGUUGAGUAUUUAUUAAGCCAUCAAAUGUGUUUGCUACUAAUGUCAUGCACUCAUUAAGAAUACCCAACAUUAAAGAAUGUUUUGUCUUUUAACUUAAGGAAAGCAGCCACCAAAUCUGCUGUGCAAUCAAAUCUGCUUUGCAACCAAAUCUGCCGUGCAUUCUUUUCAACUUGUGAUCAUUGCUGAGUUCCUGCGAGUGACCACAGUUCCCUUGGAGACAAAAUUCUUUGCGCAGUUGAACAAGAACUCCUCCAAACUGCUGGAGGUUUUAGAUGAGGACAUGCAGGAAAAUGAGGAACUGGAGCAGGCAACCAUGGUGAUCUUUGUCACUGGGAGAGAGGAUCCUUCCCAUCCACCCAAAGACAUUAAGAUAGUCAUCGAUGGAACACAGAUCAUGAACGAGGUGCCCUCAGUUACAAAAGCUGUUGCCAUGCUCUUCGGGCUCACAUACACACUCAACCUAAAAUAUCCGAAAAAUCUGCAAUACAUCCUUGAAUUUGUGCAAAAAGUCCUGAUGAGGCUUGGUGGAAAAAAGAUAUCCCCAAAAGUUCAUAGGCUGAGCUCCCAGCUUUACAUCCCAGAGUAGGCAGAGUUGAAUUCCACUGACUCGCAUCACAGGCUCAAGUAGGCAGUGUGCUGAAAAACUGGAGAACGAUUACAUUUGCACUGCAGUGUUUGUACACAUUUUUGUACGGCAGAUAGGUUAGAUUUUUCAGAUCCACACACAUGUUUGCAGGUUUUGUAAGGCAGAUAGAUUAGAAAUUCAAGCCAAGGAAUAAGGAACUGGAGGUUUCUCUUUGGAACUGAGGAGAUUUACGCAAAUCAUCUGAAAACACUUAAGGAAAGUCCUUUCAGCAACUGUUACGGUGUUGAGUAAAUGCGUUCUGUCAGAAGACAGACAUUCUCCAGACAAUGUCCAGGAUUUUAUUUUACGGAAAAAUUCCUGUUGAAAUAGCUCUCUGAUUGUAUUACUUUCCAAAAUGUAUUUUACUUUGACUAUUUUGAAAUAGGAACAUUUUCGGAUUAUUUGUUUUAUCAGUCCAUUUAUAGAGAAUCUAUUGCCGUGUUCAGUGUUGUUGUAAUUUUAUCAAGUGAUUUAUUUUUGUCACUGAGAAAUUUAGUUUGGGUUUG